CCGGACUUCAUCAACGGCUGAACCUCUCCAACGGUAGAUUCCUACAACCACCAGAUUUCAUCCGGACACCUACGGGAGCCGGACCUCGUUCCCGACUCCGACUGUAGGCGGACUUCACCUGGACUUCUACGGGAGCCGGGCUCCGCCCACGACUUUGUUGGGAAAUGUGUCCCAAAAAGCCAAUCGUCAAGCUGUUGACGGUUGAGCAUUCAAGU
rnacentral:lncRNA from 1 species